UGUGACGCCUCCAUCUCCGAUCA
rnacentral:siRNA from 1 species